UAAUUACAUGUAAAUGUUUUCAUCGGGCGCCAUUUUGAAUGUUGAAAGCGGUAUAUAUUAUUAGCUUAUUGCAGGCGCGAUAAUUUAUGUUCAUCUUUGACAUAAAUUUAUGUUACACGAUGAUACUCCGAAGGGCGACCGAGAAAGAUCCGAAAUUUAAAAUACGGCAGAGAAAAAAUAUAAAAUAAAGAGGGGAGUGAAACGGCCGAACACGUGAUGGGGUAUUGGCCAAUGACAGUGCGUAUAUCCAAUUUCGUUAUCUGGCCAUGCUCGUUCAUGAAGUUGAUCAAGAACUGUCAAAUCUAUCAAAACUUGAAUUGAUUUGCAUCGUUGCUCGCCAGCAGUGAAUUUUCGACAGAAG